rnacentral:rRNA from 1 species
UACAGAGGUCUCGAGCGUUAGGCGGAAUCACUGGGCUUAAAGCGUGUGUAGGUAGAUCGUUAAGUACCUUGUGAAAUCCCACGGCUUAACCGUGGAACUGCUUGGUAUACCGGCGGUCUUGAGCCACUUAGGGGCUACCGGAACAAAUGGUGGAGCGGUGAAAUGCGUAGAUAUCAUUUGGAACGCCAAUGGUGAAAACAGGUAGCUGGGAGUGUGCUGACACUGAGACACGAAAGCCAGGGGAGCAAACGGG